rnacentral:rRNA from 1 species
GAUGAACGCUGGCGGCGUGCCUAAUACAUGCAAGUAGAACGCUGAAGGAAGGAGCUUGCUCUUUCCGGAUGAGUUGCGAACGGGUGAGUAACGCGUAUGUAACCUGCCUGGUAGCGGGGGAUCACUAUUGGAAACGAUAGCUAAUACCGCAUAACAUUAGAUGUUGCAUGAUAUCUACUUAAAAGUUGCAAUUUCACCACUACCAGAUGGACCUGCGGUGUAUUAGCUAGUUGGUGAGGUAACGGCUCACCAAGGCGACGAUACAUAGCCGACCUGAGAGGGUGAUCGGCCACACUGGGACUGAGACACGGCCCAGACGCCUACGGGAGGCAGCAGUAGGGAAUCUUCGGCAAGGGACGGAAGUCUGACCGAGCAACGCCGAGGGAGGGAAGAAGGUUGUCGGAUCGGAAAGCUCUGUUGUCAGAGAAGAACGAGUGUGAGAGUGGAAAGUUCACAGUGUGACGGUAACUGAUCAGAAAGGGACGGCUAACUACGUG